rnacentral:rRNA from 1 species
AGUGAACGCUGGCGGUAGGCCUAACACAUGCAAGUCGAACGGCAGCACAGUAAGAGCUUGCGCUCACGGGUGGCGAGUGGCGGACGGGGGAGGAAGACAUCGGAAUCUACUUUUUCGUGGGGGAUAACGUAGGGAAACGUACGCGAAUACCGCAUACGACCUACGGGGGAAAGCAGGGGAUCUUCGGACCUUGCGCGAGUGAAUGAGCCGAUGUCGGAUUAGCUAGUUGGCGGGGUAAAGGCCCACCAAGGCGACGAUCCGUAGCUGGUCUGAGGGGAUGAUCCGCCACCCUGGCUCUGAGACACGGCCCCGACUCCUACGCUAGGCCGCAGUCGGGACUCUUACACGAUGGAGGAGUGCCUGAUCCUGCCCUACCGCCUGGGUGCUGAAGCCCCUCUGGUUGUAGAGCGCUUUUGUUCUGAGAGAAAAACAGCACGUUAAUCCGCCGCUGUUCUGACGGUACCCGAAGAAUAAGCACCGGCUAACUUCGUG